rnacentral:rRNA from 1 species
AUUGAACGCUGGCGGCAUGCUUUACACAUGCAAGUCGAACGGUAGCAGGGUGCUUGCACCGCUGACGAGUGGCGAACGGGUGAGUAAUGCGUCGGAACGUGCCGAGUAGUGGGGGAUAACGCAGCGAAAGUUGUGCUAAUACCGCAUACGUACUGAGGUAGAAAGUGGGGGACCUUCGGGCCUCACGCUAUCCGAGCGGCCGACGUCUGAUUAGCUAGUAGGUGAGGUAAAGGCUCACCUAGGCGACGAUCAGUAGCGGGUCUGAGAGGAUGAUCCGCCACACUGGGACUGAGACACGGCCCAGACUCCUACGGGAGGCAGCAGUGGGGAAUUUUGGACAAUGGGCGAAAGCCUGAUCCAGCCAUGCCGCGUGUCUGAAGAAGGCCUUCGGGUUGUAAAGGACUUUUGUCGGGGAGGAAAUCCCCAGCGCUAAUACCGCUGGGGGAUGACAGUACCUGAAGAAUAAGCACCGGCUAACUACGUGCCAGCCGCCGCCGUAACAC